rnacentral:misc_RNA from 1 species
UAAGGUGUUGGUGUUAUGAGUGAUAAGUGGGGUGUUGCUGGGGUGACGGACGGUUGUGAGUGGUGGACGCGCACGCCUGUUGGGGACACAAGUUCCCCGCCCAGCUGCCGAGGAGAGGAGAGGAUGAACUACAUUGGCAAGUUCAUAUCCAACUUCAAGGAUUUCUACAACGAGAUCAACGCCGCGACACUAACGGGUGCCAUCGACGUGGUUGUGGUGCAGCAGGAAGAUGGCACGCUGGUCAGCUCACCCUUCCACGUCCGCUUCGGCAAGAUGGGCGUCCUCAGGAGUCGGGAGAAGGUGGUUGAUAUUGAGAUUAAUGGAGAGCCUGUUGAUAUCCACAUGAAGCUUGGAGAGACAGGGGAGGCCUUUUUUGUGGAAGAGGUUGAGGAAGGUGACAAUGUAAGUCCCCUGUUAGGGACUUCACCUCUGCCCCCCUCAAUCCUACAGAAUUACCAAGGGAUUGCAGAAGACUUUGAAUGCCAGAGGCAUGAUUCUGGCAUUGAUAACUCUGCUGACUCCUCUACAAGUGUACCAAAGAACAUUAAUAAUGGUAAGAGGGUGGAGGGAGAGGAAACUCAGUCCCACCAGAGGACUGUAAUUCUAGGUGGCAAGACCAAAGAGGAAGACUCAGAGGUUGGAGUAAUCAAGAAAGUGAAGAAAAGUGUUGAGAAGAAGGAUGUUAGAAGCAGCUAUGCUCAAACUGAUGAGUCUUUCAAAUUAUCUGAAGUUCCUAAGAAGGGAGUGAAAGAGUCUGCUUCACUCAAGAGUCCUCAAAAAUUGGGAAGGAAUGAUGUUACUGGGUCCAGACGCAGCAGUUUGUUAGCAGAGACACAUGGAAGCAAGACUGAUGGAGAAGAGACUGUUAGAGCCAGCAAAAAUAACCGACGCAAACGUAAGAAGCGGUGCUACAACAAGAAGCAGCGUCCCAAGAGCUCAGGAAGUCAGUCCAGUGACACCUCCACCACCAGUGAGGUGGCAGAUUUGUCUGCUGUAGUUCCACCAGUGGCCAAUCAAGAGGGCAUUUUUGUUAUGGAUGAUGUUGAUUCAUCUGAGAAGUCUGCAUCAAUGCCACUGUUACAUGAAAAGUCUCGGGAUGAAGCCGUGCAGGAGUGGAACAAUGCCCUAUCCAGGUCCAUGGGGCCAGACUUCCAUCCAUUCAGUGACACUGACCUCAGUCCUCCUCCAAGUCCCUCCAACUCCCGACCACCAACACCAAUCAAGUCCGACACCGAGUAUGAGGUUGAGCGGCAAAAGGCUGAUUUCAUUGAUGGUUCGUCUCAGACUGAUGAGAACAAGUGGCAGUGGACCUGGGGAGAGCUGCCCACCCCUCCCCCAAAGACACCAACACGCAUGGCAGCUUCUCAUCCUGAUUCUCCACUUGUCAAGACUAGUACUGACAAAAAUAACAUAAUUGGGAAGGAUGAAGAUGAUGAACGCUCAGUGUUGGGCAGUAUGUUUAGAUUCAUGCGGGUCACCAAGAAGGCUCGCCAUAACCCUGAGAGUGAGGGGAUUUACCUUGAUGAUCUUAACUUGGAGGAGCUGGACCCUGAAGUGGCAGCUCUGUACUUUCCUCGAAACUUCAGAGUACCUGAAAAGUCUGGUUACAGUGGCUAUCCUUCUGGAAAUACCAAGGAUGAGGAUGCUGAGUCUGGCAAUGGUCCCUCCCUCCCUCAGUCUCCACAUAGUGUAGAAGGUGCCAUUGGUGGUCCAAAAAUUUGCAGUGACUCUGAUUUUGAAGAUUCAAGACAUCCUAGUUUUGACUACAAAGGCUACCAAGACAUUGCCUUCUCAUUGUGUGGUCGCCUUAAUGAAUAUGAGACCGACUUCCCGGAGAGCCUCUUCUUGCAGAGCCUUGUUACCUAUGAUGACUUUUGUGAGAAUCCGAAUAUCUUAGACAACCCGGACCUUGUGAUAAGACUAGGAGGGAAGUACGUGAAUUGGGCAACUGCAGCUCCUCAAAUCAUGUCUUUAGUGCUAUUCCAAAGGCCUGUUCCUCAGAAACUUGCUGAUGAUCUCAUGAAAGACAACAUGCCCAAGAAGACCAGGAAACGCUCAGAGUCAAAGGGGUACUCAUGGUUCUCUUGGAGGCGUAACAACCAGACUGAGGAUCCUGACACCAACAAAGACAUAAAUACAGAUGCUGAGAAGAGUGCCAUGCUGCCAUCACAAUCUAAGGAGCAAGAAGCCAGUCAGCCAAUAGACUCAAGCCUCAUUGAGGUAACUGCAGCUGAAACUCAGACCAGCUUACCAGGAACUCCAAGGAAGCAGGGUGUUCAUAAUCGUAAGGUGGGCACAGAUUCCUCUGAGUCAGAGGACUUAGAAGAAGGAAAGGAAAGGAAGUUUUCUGGAGAAAGAUACAAAAAGAGCUUGAGACUUUCAUCAGAACAACUGGUAAAGCUUAAUCUUAAAGAAGGAAGGAAUGAAGCACUGUUUUCAGUGACCACUGCUUACCAGGGAACUACACGGUGCAAGUGUCAUAUCUUCUUGUGGAACUACAAUGCCAAGAUUGUAGUUUCAGAUAUUGAUGGAACCAUCACUAAGUCAGAUGUACUUGGUCAUCUUUUGCCUAUCCUUGGAAAGGAUUGGGCCCAGAGUGGUGUGGCACAGCUGUUCACCAAGAUCAAGAACAAUGGAUACAACUUCUUGUACCUGUCAGCUAGGGCCAUAGGACAAGCACGUAUUACUCGGGAUUACCUGAGGUCUGUCAAGCAGGGAGAUUUGUCCCUCCCAGACGGGCCACUGCUGCUGAAUCCCACGUCUCUGGUGCAAGCCUUUCAUCGAGAAGUAAUUGAGAAGAAACCUGAGGAAUUCAAGAUAUCAUGUCUGAGAGAUAUUCAAGCUCUUUAUCCCUCUGACAGAAAUCCAUUUUACUCUGGAUAUGGAAACAAAAUCAAUGAUGUGUGGGCUUACCGUGCUGUUGGAAUUCCAAUAUCACGAAUCUUUACCAUAAAUCACCGAGGGGAAUUGAAACACGAACUGACUCAAACAUUCCAAUCCUCUUACAUACGACAGAGCUCUGUAGUUGAUGAAACUUUUCCACCCAUUGGAAAUAGAGAAAUUUCCCGCAAUUUGAUGACAUUUGUAUACAGUGACAGUGACACGGAAGAUGAUGAUAACCGUGUUGACUCUAUGGAUAAUAUGGAGAGUGACUGGGUCUGGUAUCCUUCAGAACUGUUGUCAUUUUACUCUAGAGAUUUAAGAAGGCAUAGUGAAUGAGCAUAUAUAUCAAAGUGGCAGACUAUUUGGAGAGUGCAUAAAGAGUGAUGAAAAUUUUGAGCAAAGCCUCAACAAGGUUAUUGAAGAUCAACGUUCUAGCUAUGUCCAAAAUUCUAGUCUGUUCGAGACUAGACCAGAAGUCUUACCUAGGAUACUCCAACUUGAGUGAUAUAUCCAAUCACAUGUUCCCACCUGUGGCCCAUCAGGAGACUCUUGGGGAGUACUCCUCCCUUCAGUACUGGAGGCCUCCUAUGCCUGAUGUCUCACUUGAGAUUGAAGCCAUUCUUUG